UUAAAUUUGGUCAUAGCAUGAAAUCUUUUAGCUGAAUAUAAAACAUUUUGACACCUUUAAAGGAUAAACGCUCAUACCUUCAGGACUGUCAAUUCAUUUUAUUAGUUGUGUGGUAUUAGAUGCAUCUCCCUUGGAGCAUACUCUUAAUUGUUAAUUUAAAGUUCCUUGUAGUUUUAAUUUUAAAGGACUUAUUUGGAAUGUUAUUAACAUUCCUUUCGUUUUGUAAUCCCCAACAGAAUUUUGCCAUUGCCAGAUAAUUUAACUAGUGCAGGAAUUUGACUUUGUUAUAUACUCAUGAGGGGCAAAUUCUUUACUGAUCAUUUGAUGGUUAGCUUUGCCAGAAGAUUAGGAAUAUUACUAUUUUAGUUUCCCAAGAUGAUAAGUCUUUGAAAGUGGACAAGAGAAUUGACUCAGUAAAGGUUACAGCCACGAAGACAGCAGAAUUGUAAAAUUGUUCUCAUUGCUGAUAAAAUUGAGUCUUUAAAUGCAUAGUUGCAUACAUGCAUGAAUGCGUGCACACACACACACACACAGACACACUUUGGGAAUGUAAUCUGUAAAAUAUGUUGCCAGUCUCAGAUGAUACUGUAAAAUAAGUGGAGUUUUCAUUGUCCUGGCUUUCUUUUCUGCUUCUUUUUAUUGAUUUUUUAAUUAGCCUACCCCAAUAUCUUCCAGGGAAUUUUUAAAAAGUUAUCCUUCUCUCUUUCUUGAGGUUCCUCAUAUAGUCUCACUCACACGCACAUUUUCACGAGAGCGAAGUCUACCCUUAACUGAAAUGAAUGACUGCUGAAUGAUCAGGAACUCCAAGUCUACAUGGAAUUCUUGCUCUUCGGUCCCAGACUCUCCCUUCUGUGUCCCCCUUAGGCAGGCAAGAUGAUGAUGAAUGAAGUCCUGGCAGCUUCCUGUGUCCCAGGCCUUGUAGAAAUAAAUGAGACAGACGUGCUUCAAAGUUCUAAUGUGCAUCACAUCGGAUCUUGUUUAAGGAAGCGUUAAAAGGAACCCGCCGUUACCUAUUGAGAAGGCUCUGUGCUCUCAGGCGUUGUUUCUGAUUGAAUCCAGAGGUUGCAAGCAUGCCUUCCUGUAUUACCUGUUGGAGCAGGUUUAAUUUUAUAAAUUUUAAACACAAACUCUAUGAGUUUCUAGUUCAUAAUUGUUCUUUUUGGGGAUCCACUCAGAUGAACAGUAUUGCAUCUGUAAGAGAUACCCACUCCACAGGACCAGAUUUGAUUGGAAUAUCAGUGGCAACAGACUCCAUCUGUAGCUCAUCCAGUACCAGUGAUGGAAAGGACAGAUGGCAAGGAAACCCUUCGAGGGGAAAAAGAAAGUCAUAUUGUGUUGGACCUACAGAUUACUAGAAACAUAGCUUUAGUAAACCAAGGCUUUUUUUCUUGAACCCAAUCUGUGUAGACUGUGUAGUUCUUGAUUGGUGGCUUUAAUCCAUUAUCAUUAGGUAUCUCCUUGAACAUUCUCAAACACUGAAAGUCUUAAGCUUUCAUUAAAAAAAAAAAAAAAAAGUAAAUGCAGCUUUCAGAAAAUCCAGGAUUCAGUACACUCUUCUGAGUGUUUCACUUCAGCCUCCCUGUCCUGUUAUUACCGACGGCAGGUACCCGGGUGGUAGACAAGGAGCCUUGCAGGAUAGAUAAGGAAAUGAAGAUGAACAGACAUAUCACAUUGUAUCGUAAACAUACUUUAUAAGUACAUUUCUUAUUAGCUUCUUAUUCAGGCAGAGAUUAUAAAAGUUUGCUGCAGGUAUCCAGACCAGAAUUUGUGUUUUGGAAAUUAUCAGUGUUCACAAUACCUGCAGGGAAAAAAAAAAAUACAAAAACUCAAAUAUGAAUACUCUUUACACCCAAAAGAAUAUUUUUAUCCUUCUUUUAUUUGUUUUUGGCUCUGUCAAAAAUUAAAGUGCUUGGAAUGCUGUAGUCUGUGGUCUCUUGAAAUUUAAUCAAUGAGAACCUAGCAUUUUCACAGUAUGCUGUCACUUUGGACAUUCAUAAUAAAAAUUGAAACU
rnacentral:sRNA from 1 species